rnacentral:rRNA from 1 species
GGAUAAGCCUGGGAAACUGGGUCUAAUACCGGAUAUGACCUCCUAUCGCAUGGUGGGUGGUGGAAAGAUUUAUCGGUGCAGGAUGGGCCCGCGGCCUAUCAGCUUGUUGGUGGGGUAAUGGCCUACCAAGGCGACGACGGGUACCGACCUGAGAGGGUGACCGGCCACACUGGGACUGAGACACGGCCCAGACUCCUACGGGAGGCAGCAGUGGGGAAUAUUGCACAAUGGGCGAAAGCCUGAUGCAGCGACGCCGCGUGAGGGAUGACGGCCUUCGGGUUGUAAACCUCUUUCAGCAGGGACGAAGCGCAAGUGACGGUACCUGCAGAAGAAGCACCGGCUAACUACGUGCCAGCAGCCGCGGUAAUACGUAGGGUGCAAGCGUUGUCCGGAAUUACUGGGCGUAAAGAGUUCGUAGGCGGUUUGUCGCGUCGUUUGUGAAAACCAGCAGCUCAACUGCUGGUUUGCAGGCGAUACGG